CCUACGGGAGACAGCAGUGAGGAAUAUUGGUCAAUGGACGAGAGUCUGAACCAGCCAAGUAGCGUGAAGGAUGACUGCCCUAUGGGUUGUAAACUUCUUUUAUAAAGGAAUAAAACGAGGCACGUGUGCCUUUUUGCAUGUACUUUAUGAAUAAGGAUCGGCUAACUCCGUGCCAGCAGCCGCGGUAAUACGGAGGAUCCGAGCGUUAUCCGGAUUUAUUGGGUUUAAAGGGAGCGUAGAUGGGUUGUUAAGUCAGUUGUGAAAGUUUGCGGCUCAACCGUAAAAUUGCAAUUGAUACUGGAAGUCUUGAGUACAGGUGAGGUAGGCGGAAUUCGUGGUGUAGCGGUGAAAUGCUUAGAUAUCACGAAGAACCCCGAUUGCGAAGGCAGCUUACUAAACUGUGACUGACAUUGAUGCUCGAAAGUGUGGGUAUCAAACAGGAUUAGAUACCCUUGUAGUC
rnacentral:rRNA from 1 species